CCCCUCUCAGGAUCACACUUGGAGAGUUUCCAGUACUCUACCAAUCUUGGCUUCAGGAGGGAGAGUCAAGCAGAGGCAUACUUAUUCUAUUCCUAGUUUGGGCAGUGGUUAACGAGUAGAAGGCAAUCUGCUUCAAGU